rnacentral:rRNA from 1 species
CCUACGGGGCGCAGCAGUUAGGAAUAUUGGGCAAUGGAGGAAACUCUGACCCAGCAACGCCGCGUGAAGGAAGAAGGUUUUCGGAUUGUAAACUUCUGAUCUUGGGGAAAAAGAAAGUGAUGGUACCCAAGGAGAAAGCCACGGCUAACUACGUGCCAGCAGCCGCGGUAAUACGUAGGUGGCGAGCGUUGUCCGGAAUGACUGGGCGUAAAGGGAGCGUAGGUUGUUGUUUAAGUUAAAUGUGAAAGCCCGCGGCUCAACUGCGGAACUGCAUUUAAUACUGGACAACUAGAGUGCAGGAGGGG